CCUACGGGAGGCAGCAGUAGGGAAUUUUGCGCAAUGGGCGAAAGCCUGACGCAGCAACGCCGCGUGAUCGAGACGCCCUUCGGGGUGUAAAGAUCUGUCAGUGGAGACGCAACUUGACGGUACCCACAGAGGAAGCACCGGCGAACUCCGUGCCAGCAGCCGCGGUACUACGGGGGGUGCAAGCGGGGUGCGGAAUCACGGGGCGUAAAGAGUUCGUAGGCGGCAUGUAAAGUCAAGUGUGAAAUCCAGAGGCUCAACGUGGGAACGGCCGUUGAAACUGGCGAACGGGAGUGCGGGAGAGGAUAGUGGAAUUCCAGGUGUAGGAGUGAAAGCCGGAGAUAUCUGGAGGAACAUCAGUGGCGAAGGCGACUAUCUGGCACAUAACUGACGCUGAGGAGCGAAAGCGUGGGUAGCAAACAGGAUUAGAUACCCUUGUAGUC
rnacentral:rRNA from 1 species